AUACGGAGGGGGCUAGCGUUGUUCGGAAUUACUGGGCGUAAAGGGCGCGUAGGCGGACCAUCAAGUCAGAGGUGAAAGGCCUGGGCUCAACCCGGGAACUGCCUUUGAAACUAAAGGUCUAGAGACCGAGAGAGGAUAGCGGAAUUCCCAGUGUAGAGGUGAAAUUCGUAGAUAUUGGGAAGAACACCAGUGGCGAAGGCGGCUAUCUGGCUCGGUACUGACGCUGAGGCGCGAAAGCGUGGGGAGCAAACAGGAUUAGAUACCCCGGUAGUCC
rnacentral:rRNA from 1 species